rnacentral:rRNA from 1 species
CCUACGGGCGGCUGCAGUGGGGAAUAUUGGACAAUGGGGGCAACCCUGAUCCAGCCAUGCCGCGUGUGUGAAGAAGGCCCUCGGGUUGUAAAGCACUUUCAGUGAGGAAGAACGCCUGGUGGUUAAUACCCAUCAGGAAAGACAUCACUCACAGAAGAAGCACCGGCUAACUCCGUGCCAGCAGCCGCGGUAAUACGGAGGGUGCGAGCGUUAAUCGGAAUUACUGGGCGUAAAGCGCGCGUAGGUGGCUUGAUAAGCCGGUUGUGAAAGCCCCGGGCUCAACCUGGGAACGGCAUCCGGAACUGUCAAGCUAGAGUGCAGGAGAGGAAGGUAGAAUUCCCGGUGGAGCGGUGAAAUGCGUAGAGAUCGGGAGGAAUACCAGUGGCGAAGGCGGCCUUCUGGACUGACACUGACACUGAGGUGCGAAAGCGUGGGUAGCAAACAGGAUUAGAUACCCCGGUAGUC